GGAAAAGUGGGAAAACAAGGGGAUUUCAGUGCCAGUUCCUUCCCAGAGUGACUCUGUGGCCAGCAGGAAUUUUUGAAUGGAAUAAAAGUGCCCUAUUCCCAACAUCCCCACACGGGCUGUGAAAUUCCAGGGCCAUUCAGGCUCUCCAUCUUGGUUAUCUAAGUGCUCCCAAGAGGAGACAGGAUCCUGGUAACGGCCGUGCUCAUCCAUGCCUCAGAUCCCAAAGAACAGCAAAAACACAAGGGGAGUGUCCUUGGGAAGGGAUGGAAUUGGGGUGGUUUGAUGGGCUUCUCCAUGAUGGGGAUGGGAGGAUGGGGAAGGAGGAAGAGCUCAGGAUGAAGCAGAAAUUCCAAGGAAAACCAGGAUUCUGCAGCUCUGCCGUGAUGAGUGAGGCAAGGAGGAAACUUUCUCCCUCUCCUUCUUCCUGGAAAUAAAACUCCCCCACCAGGAUCAUUGUUUUCAUGUUUAUUUUCCUUCCUUGUGACUCAGCCCAUGGAAAACUCCCCACAGAGCGGAGCGGCUCCAUUCCACUCCCAUUCCUGGGGCAGAUCCUCAACUCCUGGAAGGGAAUUUUCCUCACACAAAACCCCAGAAAAGCUUUUCCAGCAUUUUUAUUUUUGGGGGGACUCUCCACCCUCCCUGCAGCCAAACCUCAGCUCCAGGGUGGGAGUGGCAGAAAUCCAAAAACCUGCUCCUUCCCCCAGCUUCUCCGCGGGAGAGGAAUAAAACUUUCCGACAGCAUUUCCCUCUCUUCCCAAAUCCGAGGCGAAGGGACGUCAAUUCCCUGCAGGAAGCGCGGCGAGUUCAGCGCCGAGCGCCAGGAAAAUUUGUCACCGCUGCUCCCCGGGGCUCCACUCCCGGCCUGGAGCAUCCUCCCAGGCAAAUGUUAUUCCUUUCAUAAUCCAUGAAGAUGCAGCUGGGAAAUCCUUCAGGAAUAUCCAAGCCAGAUGUCACUCUUCCCGUUGGACACGGCGACUUUGGAAGCCGCUGGAUGGGAUUCGCUGCCAGGAAUAAAAGCUCGGCCCCAGCCCGGCGGGUUUUGGCUUUCAGGAGCUCCGAGAGAAUGAAAACAAGGGAAAAGAGAAGGAGCCAAGUCCAUCUUAGCGAGAACAAGGAGGGAUCGGUGCCAAAUCGCUGCUGGCAGCUGGAGGAGGCAGGUGGGGAUGGCUUGGAAAAGUUGGGAAGAGCUGGGCUGGCUCUGGGUGAGGGAUGGAGGAGGAUUUUCCUAAGAGUUGCCUCCUCCUCCAAAAAAAAAACC